UCCUGCAGGGCUGACCGGGCCGAUCCUCAUUGGUGUAGAGUUCGGUUGGAGCGCCAGAAGACGGCGACAGUCUUCGGGGUUCCAGAUCGGAUUCCCUCCCGGUCACCUUGGCGGUCAUCGGCGAGCAUUGAGACUUGGAAAGUGCGUACGAAGUCACGAGUGACCUCCGCGUUGCGUGCGCGGACUAAUAUUGAACGGAGGAAGAUGUUAUCGGUCGAGGUCAGAUUUUCAAACCCCUCGUACAGCCCGAACCUGGAUGUAAAUGUGUUACGUUCGUGAAACUGAAUAUCAUCGAGAGAAGUGCGUGUUACUCACGUGUUACGCGUUAUUUUACUCGCGGUUUUAACCGCCCCAACGACUAUUCCCACGAGUCUAACGUUUCUCUGCAGUUACUUAACCUACCUGCACACCACAGGCGACAAUCGCGUGCGAUAAGAAACUGCUAAGCUGCCCAUAUCGGAGCUCUGCGUGUUGCUGGGGAACGAGAUCCGGAGUUUGCUGCGAGAGCUGGACCCAGACGAUGAGUCUCGGUCUCCGAUGCGGGACUUGGUCCCGGACCCUGCGAGCCGUCGAGCAAUCAGUUUCGGCCAAUCUCGAGCCUGCUAAUCACGAAACGUUGAUUGCCCCCUGGAACCACGUGGAGAUACCACGGCUGGCUGCAGACGAGAGACGUUCCUCUCAAAGGUGCUUCGAGGUUUACCGUCGGUAAAUCCCUGCAGCCGUUCCGGACCGCCUUAUAGUCUGCAGGAAAUGAAUUUUCCGCAACUCCAUAUGCCGCCCACGUAUAAGCUAUGGGUGUGUAUACCUGCAGCCUUCGGCUGCCCGGCAAUUUCAACCCAGGUGCGACCCGCGGGAUGAAAAGUUUCCAAAUUUUCACCAACAUCCGCGUGCAGCGGAAAAAAACUCGAACUUCAGUCAGUCGCCAUCGCUGAUGUGGGGCGAACCACCCUGCAGAAGUGGAUGAAUCGCGAACGUGGUCUGUACUCGAGGCUCCGAGGGAACUUGGGGUGGGAUCUGCGUCGCCGGGAAACCUAGCCAGGAAUGUAAUCACAGGAUUCCCCUGCGAUCCUUCCGGAUGCAGCUGGUGGCCAUAUUGGAUUCUUAGCACCGUCCCGCCUUAUAUAUUGUUCAUUAAACGUUGACACUGACGGCUCGACUCGUGCCUCGCUCUCUCCCGACUCGAUUUCGAGUUUUCAACCAAGUCGCGGAUCCCUGACUUUUU